CGUGCAAAACAGAUUGUCGCCUUGUUAUCCCGAUAGCUAUCGGGAUACAUGGAGGAAAGUCCGGGCAACACAGAGUGCCGUGCCACCUAACGGGUGGGAAGCUCAGUAUAAUAUUGGGUUUACAGAUAGUGCCGCAGAAAAUUAAACUACCUCAAAAAGUCACUUCGGCCUAGGCUCAGUGACCUUUUUGCGGAAAAGGUGAAAAGGCGGUGUAAGAGACCACCGUUCCGCCAGUAAUGACGGAAGCAAGGUAAACCUCACGGGUUGUAAGGCCAAAUAGGCCGGUGCUUCGGCUUCGCUCAGCAACCUUUAGUGGUUGUAUUGAGUAAGCUGAUAAAAGAACUUCUCGUUCGAUGCCGGUGGGUAGGCUGCUAGAGGUAAUCAGUGAUGGUUAUCGGAGAUAAAUGACAAUCGCUUUGAAUCAAGUAAUUGGUUUAAAGGACAGAACCCGGCUUAUCGUUUUGCGCUAAGA
rnacentral:RNase_P_RNA from 3 species